GAGGAGGGCGGCGGCGAGGCCAGGACCCGCGUCAAGCGCGCACAGUUGGUGCUGAACUCGGAAGAGGAUGCAGGCGACAUCGAAGCGAUGCAAGAGGAGUCGGCCAACGAGGGCGGCUUCGACGUCAGUGUCGGUGGCGACGGCGCGGAGGAGGGGCAGGCGGAGUGGCUGGAGCGGCGCGGCGUCCCUGCCAGCUUUCCAGGAGACGAAGGUAAAGAAGAGAAGUGCAGCGGUGAUGAAGAGGAGAGGGAAGUGGCGCUGGGUAAAAACGAUGCGAAACCGCCGAAGUAGCGAGACACGGCGGGGUUUCCCGGAGCGCCCAGCUGCGGCGGGGCGUCCCCGCGCUGCCUGCGGCGGCCAGAACUUUUGUUGAUGUUUAUUAGUUGUUGCAACGCUA